rnacentral:sRNA from 1 species
UCCCGGCACAGUCAGCCUCUGUGUGGGAGGACUGGUGGCUGUCUUUGCAGGCAGGCAUUUGCUUAGAGCAGGCUGUGUGCGAGCCCAGCGUCAAGUGAUUCCGGCCUCCUCGAGUCAGCGGUGGUGGGAUGAGGCUCUGCCGAGGGGACUGGCUGUGAAGGAUGAGUUCAGGGUGGGAUGACGGACCGCUUCUGGGACCAGUGGUAUCUCUGGUAUCUCCGCUUGCUCCGGCUGCUGGAUCGAGGUUAGAAGACAGGUCCCAGUCUUCCUAAUGAGGCAUUGAAAGUCUAGGUGGAAUAGAUGCUUGCUGGAGCCUGUGGAUAUUAUAAAAGAAAGAGCUCACUGCCUUAAAGUGGUCAGGAGAGGCAGGAGUGAGAGCCAAUGUGAAGGUGUGGGAGUUGGAAGGAACUUGGAACUCAACUUCUUUUGGCCCCUCAACUUGAGAUUCACAAAGAAAAAAAGCAAUGUCUCCUCGCUGAAAGCAAAAUGGAAGCUCCUCCUUGCACAGUGCAGCCCCUUCCUCACUGUAGGUUAUUCCAAGUGAGAAGAGUAAACAUGACUUCCAAAUGCCGUCUAACGAUAUAUGCAUAUCUAAAGGAGACAAGGAUGACUGAAUGCAUCUUCAUGUGUAGGAAGUGAAGUGUCUGUUGACAUUAAGUACUUCUUCAUGAGUGAGAGGAGGCCCAUGAUGGAGAUGACACCAGUACCUCCUUCUAGCACUCUGAAUUCCCAAUGUUUACUACUGCUGUCUCUGAAACUGCAGCAUCCUCACCAGGACCACACAGGGAACAAAGGCAAGACACCUGAAAUCCCUUUAGCCAUAUUCACAACACUUACUUCAUAGAUAAGAUGAUGUUUGAAAUAUGAGAAGGAUUUUUUUUUAAAAGAGCACUCUAUUCUCUUGGUAUCCUAGUAUGAGUGCCUGAAAGUGCACAUUGGCUAGAAGGUUUCAUGUGAGCAUCAGCCCCAGGGUCCAGAAGACACUCUUGGCAAGCCUGGAGAGUGAGUAUGUUGAACAGGCAAUGGAAGCAUCCAUGAAAGGCAGGCAACUGCGCACGACUUUCCAACAGAUGGCUGGUCAGUUGCACAGAGGGAAGGAGCCAUGGAUUCCAUGAUAAUGACACUUGUGCCAGCUUUUGUGUUUCCAGAAGUAUUGAAGAUAAAAGGGAACCACCACAUGUAGAGUAUGUGAAGUCUUACAGAGACGAGGUCCUAAGGUAUUUAUUUUGACAAAUCACGUUGCAAGUAAUGUGAAAGCAGUUUGAAGAAAAAAUGUCCCCAUCUAAUGCUGCAUUACGGCAUGCAUUUCUUUAGCCUGAAUCUGUCAGUGACAUGAAAAUACA